AUUGAACCAAGAGGGUGACUGGUCUGAGAACACAGGCAGGUCUGCCCCUAAUCCGAGAGAUGACAGAAAAUCUUUUGUUGUUGUUUUAUCUACAAUAGAGAUACUCUCAGGGGACUAGAAAUUAAGAGAAAUAUCUGUAUAUAGAACACAAAUGGGAGUGAAUUUAAAAUCAAAAACAAUGCCCCAAAUCUGUAUAUUAGAGAACUUCUGCAAAAGGUGGUAACUGUUGCAGGGAUGCCCCAAGUUCUGUGGUAGGAAAUAAAGAGGACUCUAAGGGACCCUAGAGAUGAACUCUUGGGAAGAUUUGUCCAAGCACCAAUAAACGACCAUCCAAGAGGUCACUCCUUCUCCCUGAUGGGCAGGUGGUAGACUAGUGGAGUCAUUAGCCCCCAGGUUGCGCAGUAUGCAUGGGAUCUUGGGCAAAACCCAGAUUGGAGGGUGAAUUCUCCACACCCAGAAGACCAGGCCAAGUUGCCUUACAGACAGUCCUUCUGCCCUGAAAUCACUGUAGGCAGUCUGUGGACUGGAUCUCUUCCUCCCAUUGGAAAUGGACACGAAAACAGAUCAUCCAUUGCUCACCCACAUCACAAAAGGACAAGUUUGCCAGCCUGACUCUAGAGAAAUCUCAGCUGAGAAAGUCUGCAAAGAAAUUUGGCUGUGUCUACCAAGACCAAGUCUUUACCUCAUUAUCGGUGAGCAGGGGCUAAUUUCUUCACCUGCAACCCUAUCGCGGGGUCAUUAUCAGGAUUGUGUCAAUAACGGCAAAACGCUUCGAAUAGAGCCACAUGAUUCAUCCUGGGGAAAACCAAAUGCAGUUCAAUGACUGACACCAAGGGCCAAAAAGAAGGAGUGGGCAUUGGGGAUUAGGGUUGGGGUCAUGGAAAGAAGACGGCUCUGCGGGAAGCAAGGUAUAUCAAGGUGAAGAGAGUAUAUCUGGGAGGGAGAUGCUCCAGAACUGGAUGGGAAGGGGGUGGCAGCAUUGGGGAUCACACAGCCUCUAAUAAAGAA